AGUGUCUGUGGGACAGUUCAGUGUCUGUAGGACAGUUCAGUGUCUGUGGGACAGUUCAGUGUCUGUGGGACAGUUCAGUGUCUGUGCUGAGUUCAGUGUCUGUAGGACAGUUCAGUGUCUGUAGGACAGUUCAGUGUCUGUGGGACAGUUCAGUGUCUGUGGGACAGUUCAGUGUCUGUGCUGAGUUCAGUGUCUGUAGGACAGUUCAGUGUCUGUGGGACAGUUCAGUGUCUGUGCUGAGUUCAGUGUCUGUAGGACAGUUCAGUGUCUGUGGGACAGUUCAGUGUCUGUAGGACAGUUCAGUGUCUGUGCUGAGUUCAGUGUCUGUGGGACAGUUCAGUGUCUGUGCUGAGUUCAGUGUCUGUGCUGAGUUCAGUGUCUGUAGGACAGUUCAGUGUCUGAGGGACAGUUCAGUGUCUGUGCUGAGUUCAGUGUCUGUAGGACAGUUCAGUGUCUGUGCUGAGUUCAGUGUCUGUAGGACAGUUCAGUGUCUGUGCUGAGUUCAGUGUCUGUGCUGAGUUCAGUGUCUGUGCUGAGUUCAGUGUCUGUGGGACAGUUCAGUGUCUGUGCUGAGUUCAGUGUCUGUAGGACAGUUCAGUGUCUGUGGGACAGUUCAGUGUCUGUAGGACAGUUCAGUGUCUGUGCUGAGUUCAGUGUCUGUGGGACAGUUCAGUGUCUGUGCUGAGUUCAGUGUCUGUGCUGAGUUCAGUGUCUGUAGGACAGUUCAGUGUCUGAGGGACAGUUCAGUGUCUGUAGGACAGUUCAGUGUCUGUGCUGAGUUCAGUGUCUGUGCUGAGUUCAGUGUCUGUGCUGAGUUCAGUGUCUGUAGGACAGUUCAGUGUCUGUGCUGAGUUCAGUGUCUGUAGGACAGUUCAGUGUCUGUGCUGAGUUCAGUGUCGUUGUUCACAGUAGGAUUUUGAGGAUUUUGAGUAUUUUUUCAGUCUGACUGAUUUUGUUUGUUUACUGACUCACAGAAAAAUCAGAAACGGUUUAAUUUUUUAAGCUGCUGCUGAUUUUUGAUGUUUUUAUAGUUUU